rnacentral:tRNA from 1 species
GGGGCUAUGGCUCAAUGGUAAAGCAUCUGCUUGGAAUGCAUAAAGUCCCAAGUUCAAUUCCCAGCAUCUCCA